rnacentral:tRNA from 1 species
AAAAUCCGUCGAUUUUGAAAGUCGUGAGGGUUCAAGUCCCUCUAUCCCCAAAAAGCCUAUUUGAUUCCCCAACCCAUUUAUCCUAUCUCU